rnacentral:rRNA from 1 species
ACUGCUCAGUAACACGUGGAUAACCUGCCCUUGGGACCGGCAUAACCCCGGGAAACUGGGGAUAAUUCCGGAUAACGCAUAUAUGCUGGAAUGCUUUAUGCGUGAAAUGGAUUCGUCUGCCCAAGGAUGGGUCUGCGGCCUAUCAGGUAGUAGUGGGUGUAAUGGACCUACUAGCCUACAACGGGUACGGGUUGUGAGAGCAAGAGCCCGGAGAUGGAUUCUGAGACAUGAAUCCAGGCCCUACGGGGCGCAGCAGGCGCGAAAACUUUACAAUGCGGGAAACCGUGAUAAGGGGACACCGAGUGCCAGCAUCAUAUGCUGGCUGUCCAGGUGUGUAAAAUACACCUGUUAGCAAGGGCCGGGCAAGACCGGUGCCAGCCGCCGCGGUAACACCGGCGGCCCGAGUGGUGAUCGUGAUUAUUGGGUCUAAAGGGUCCGUAGCCGGUUUGGUCAGUCCUCCGGGAAAUCUGACAGCUCAACUGUUAGGCUUUCGGGGGAUACUGCCAGACUUGGAACCGGGAGAGGUAAGAGGUACUACAGGGGUAGGAGUGAAAUCUUGUAAUCCCUGUGGGACCACCUGUGGCGAAGGCGUCUUACCAGAACGGGUUCGACGGUGAGGGACGAAAGCUGGGGGCACGAACCGGAUUAGAUACCCGGGUAGUCCCAGCCGUAAACGAUGCUCGCUAGGUGUCAGGCAUGGCGCGACCGUGUCUGGUGCCGCAGGGAAGCCGUGAAGCGAGCCACCUGGGAAGUACGGCCGCAAGGCUGAAACUUAAAGGAAUUGGCGGGGGAGCAC